rnacentral:rRNA from 1 species
CGAGUUUGAUCAUGGCUCAGAACGAACGCUGGCGGCAUGCCUAACACAUGCAAGUCGAACGAAGGCUUCGGCCUUAGUGGCGCACGGGUGCGUAACGCGUGGGAAUCUGCCCCUCGGUUCGGAAUAACUCAGAGAAAUUUGAGCUAAUACCGGAUAAUGACUUCGGUCCAAAGAUUUAUCGCCGAGGGAUGAGCCCGCGUAGGAUUAGCUAGUUGGUGGGGUAAAGGCCUACCAAGGCGACGAUCCUUAGCUGGUCUGAGAGGAUGAUCAGCCACACUGGGACUGAGACACGGCCCAGACUCCUACGGGAGGCAGCAGUGGGGAAUAUUGGACAAUGGGCGAAAGCCUGAUCCAGCAAUGCCGCGUGAGUGAUGAAGGCCUUAGGGUUGUAAAGACUCUUUUACCCGGGUAUGAUAAUGACAGUACCGGGAGAAUAAGCUCCGGCUAACUCCGUG